CCUACGGGAGGCAGCAGUGGGGAAUAUUGGACAAUGGGCGAAAGCCUGAUCCAGCCAUGCCGCGUGUGUGAAGAAGGCCUUCGGGUUGUAAAGCACUUUCAGUGGGGAAGAAAGCCUUGGGGCUAAUACCCUCGAGGAAGGACAUCACCCACAGAAGAAGCACCGGCUAACUCCGUGCCAGCAGCCGCGGUAAUACGGAGGGUGCGAGCGUUAAUCGGAAUUACUGGGCGUAAAGCGCGCGUAGGCGGACUGAUAAGCCGGUUGUGAAAGCCCCGGGCUCAACCUGGGAACGGCAUCCGGAACUGUCAGGCUAGAGUGCAGGAGAGGAAGGUAGAAUUCCCGGUGUAGCGGUGAAAUGCGUAGAGAUCGGGAGGAAUACCAGUGGCGAAGGCGGCCUUCUGGACUGACACUGACGCUGAGGUGCGAAAGCGUGGGUAGCAAACAGGAUUAGAUACCCCUGUAGUC
rnacentral:rRNA from 1 species